UGGGAUUCCUGGAGAACCUGGAGGUCCUGGCCGGCAGGGUGAGCGUGGUAACCCUGGACCUGUUGGUAGCCCUGGAGACAAAAGUGAACCAGGAGAGGAUGGACUGCCAGGCCCAGAUGGGCCCCCAGGACCUGCUGGAACUCCAGGGCAGAGGGGACUUGUGGGUCUUCCUGGAAUGAGAGGAGAGCGUGGUAUGGUUGGCCUUCCUGGACCUGCGGGUCCACCAGGAAAAGCUGGCACCCCAGGUUCUCAAGGAACCAAAGGUGGUGCAGGACCGGUUGGUUUGCCAGGAACAGCUGGACCCAGAGGAGAUGCUGGCCCAGAGGGUUUGGCUGGAGCUGAUGGAAUUCAAGGAGCUGAUGGUAUCAUUGGACCCAGAGU
rnacentral:lncRNA from 1 species